ensembl:lincRNA
CUUUCCGGGCAGCGCCGUGGAGCGCAAGCGGACCGUGCCGAAUGGCGGGCAGCGGAGGCCCCGGGCGGCCGAGCCCGGCGUGGCCUUGGGCUCUUCCAGGUGUAACAAAACCUGUCUCAUUUGAAGGUGCUUGAACAAAUACUUUCCAAAAACUUGUCAUGGAGAGUGAGUGAAACAAGCUACCAGGACUACAUUUGCAAAGAACAAGCAUGUAGGUGGCUGUAGUGGAUGUCCAACAUUGGGAGCUGUGAUUUCUAAAAACCCUUCAUUGUUUUGUGUGCAGCUCACAUUUUGGAAGGUAAAAUGAAGACCAUGAACAAAGUCAAGAAACCACGAACAGAAGCAAAUGAUGAAAAUUAGUAUUUAAUUUGAUAUUAAUAAAAUAAGUUAUGUAGAAAUAGUUAAUCUUAAUUUGUGUGGGCAGUAAUUUCUUUAAAAUGUCAUACUCAUAGUAAAAUAAAUUUCUCCUUUCAUGA